GUCCCUGUAGCGCAAUGGAUAGCGCGUUGGACUUCUAAUCCAAAGUUCGUGGGUGAGAAUCCUACCUGGGAUG